rnacentral:rRNA from 1 species
UACGGAGGGUGCAAGCGUUAUCCGGAUUCACUGGGUUUAAAGGGUGCGUAGGCGGCCAACUAAGUCCGACGUGAAAUCCCCAGGCUUAACCUGGGAACUGCGUCGGAUACUGGAUGGCUUGAAUCCGGGAGAGGGAUGCAGAAUUCCAGGUGUAGCGGUGAAAUGCGUAGAUAUCUGGAGGAAUACCGGUGGCGAAGGCGGCAUCCUGGACCGGCAUUGACGCUGAACGGCGAAAGCUAGGGGAGCAAACGGG